rnacentral:misc_RNA from 1 species
GUUUUGUGCUAUUGGUGUAGGUUACGUUAAUUCUAACUCAUAUUAUACUCGUUGAUUUACUGUUAUUUUAUAAUUAGGAUAAAAAUAUUAUGGCUUAUUAUGUGUAGGAUCAAACGCUUACCACCAUACCAAAAGUUUAAACUUUUGACAAAGGUGCAACUCUAAUCCCUUAUAUUGUAGCAAACCAAGCACCAUGGGUUGAAGACAUCAUGGCAGAAUGC